rnacentral:tRNA from 1 species
GGGGGAGUGGCGGAACUGGCAGACGCGCAUGGCUUAGGACCAUGUGCCGCAAGGCUUGGGGGUUCGAGUCCCCCCUUCCCCACCA